UACGUAGGGGGCUAGCGUUGUCCGGAAUCAUUGGGCGUAAAGAGCGUGUAGGCGGCCCGGUAAGUCCGCUGUGAAAGUCAGGGGCUCAACCCUUGAAGGCCGGCCGAUACUGUCGGACUAGAGUCCGGAAGAGGCAAGUGGAAUUCCCGGUGUAGCGGUGAAAUGCGCAGAUAUCGGGAGGAACACCAAUGGCGAAGGCAGCUUGCUGGGACGGUACUGACGCUGAGGCGCGAAAGCGUGGGGAGCAAACAGG
rnacentral:rRNA from 1 species